GUUUUUAUGGAGUUUCCUACCGCCACUAUCGAUUGAAAGCCAUCGGCAAAUGCCGUUUGAAGAAUAUUACACUUGACACCAGACAAGCCGGGAAUGGCGGGCUUCACAUUAUCUUUGAUCAAUAAAAUCAUGCCUAGCAAGUUACCAAAAUGUAACAAUUUGCACUAAACUGACCCAAAUCAUUUUUUUAUCCAUUUUAUAUUUGAUCUAAAAUGAUUAACCCUGAAUAACUAUUUAUAAACCCAUUAAACAAUCGUGUGGAACACUACAUCAGGCCUACUGCCACUUUGUAACUAAAGAAAGUUUCGUCUAUCUUGACUCUCCAAAAACAAGGACAUGCAAAAGGAGAAGGAUUCUGGGCAAACUUUAGUUGAAAGACCAUCCCAAGUUAAAAUCAGUCUUCAAACCUACAAGAGCUUAAAACCAACAAACACACAAAGAAAAAAACAAGAAGAAAACGCCAGAGUCAAACUCAUCGCAAUCUAAAAAUAACCCUCGUUACUCAACUCUGGUUGCUUAAAAAAAUGGAAGAAAACAAAAAAAAAACAAGUUAUUCACAACUCCACCGAGCAGGUAAAAAGGAAAAUCACAGCUAAGAUAAGGGAGAGACAUGCAUCUCCUAUCCGAUAGUGCAAGAGAGGCCAAUAGACGGCAGAUGAAAGGGUAGAAAACCCUAGAAAAGAGGGAAAGAUGAGAGAAGAAAACGAG
rnacentral:lncRNA from 1 species